CACUGGGAUAUGAGUAGCUGGUGAAUGGAGACCCUGAGUUCCCUGCAGGGGCCAUGGCUAUUAGAAGUUUUCUGGAAGGUCUCUCCAGCUGUAGAUCUCCAGAUGAGAAGCUCAGAACAGAUUAAGGAAUCUUUCAGUCGUCAUCCGGGAAGCCUCUGCUUGCAAUAGAUGAUGAUCAGCACAGGAACCCCCAGCUUUCAAAGUGCAGAGAAUAACAGACUUCAGAAUGUCCCGCCCUGAAGGUAACAUAUGUGUGGAAAGCCCUGCUCUAAAGGCUCAGGGAUCAUUGUGGAAAAGCUGUCAGAAAGGUCAACAGUCGGAAGAUGCUGGGUGCUGCUGCACCCCUGUUUUGCUCAGACAGCGGAAAGAACUACCAGCUCGGGAAAUGCAAAUCCGGAUCACAUAAAAAUUCCGUCUCACUGCAGAGAGAAUGGCCAUCAUCAAGGAAACAAGGAAACGCUGAUGAGGAUGUGGAGAAAGAGAAGCGCUUACGUACUGCCAGUAGAGCCCCUGUGGAGAUUAGCAUGGAGGUCCCUCCAGAAAUCCCAAGUAGAACACCGCAUGAUCUAUUCAGAUGCACUGUACGUUACCCCAUCACGGAGGUAAUGUGUAUACAUGCUUAUUACCGGGCUACUCACAGAAGCCAAGGUAUGACAUCAGCCUAGGUGUCCAUCCAUACAUGAACAGAUAAAGAAAGUUUGGUACAUGUACACAAUGGACUUUUGUUCAGCCUUAAAGAAGAAUUAAUGGUAUCAUUUCUUGGACAAUGGAUAGAAUUAGAGACUAUAAUGUUAAGCUAGAUAAACUAAGAUUAAGAAGAGAAAGAUAUUUUCUUUCAUAUGGGGAAUAACACACACACAUACAUACACAAUGGGAAAACACACACACACACACACACGCACACACACACCCACCCACACGAUAUGAAAAUAGAAGGGGAUGACUAGAUGGGGAAAGGUAGGGAUCCAGGGGACAGACAGGUCCAAGAAAAGACAAGAGAGA